rnacentral:rRNA from 1 species
UCAGACGAUGCGUCAUGCAUAUCAAUAAGCGGAGGAAAAGAAACUAGCUAGGAUUCCCUCAGUAACGGCGAGUGAAGCGGGAAGAGCUCAAAUUUGAAAUCUUCAAGGUUCUACCUUGACGAAUUGUAGUUUAAAGAAGUGUUUUCUGUUGGAGUUUUGGUAAAAGUUCUUUGGAAUAGGACAUCAUAGAGGGUGAGAAUCCCGUAUUUGACCAUUAUUUCCAGCUUUGUGAUACACUUUCAAAGAGUCGGAUUGUUUGGGAAUGCAGUCCAAAAUGGGUGGUAAAUUUCAUCUAAAGCUAAAUAUUGGCGAGAGACCGAUAGCGAACAAGUACCGUGAGGGUAAGAUGAAAAGAACUUUGAAAAGAGAGUUAAACAGUACGUGAAAUUGUCAAAAGGGAAGCGUUUGACACCAGUGUUGUUUUCCUCGAAAAUCAAUUAAAAAAGGCAGGAUUUUGUGUUGUAUUGACUUCAUCAGCUUUCUGCACUCUUUUCUUGUCUUUUUUUAAUGCACUUUUCGUUUAACAAGUCAACAUCAAUUUCUUUUGUUGUAAAAGGGUCAUUGGAAGGUGGCUUUCUUUUCGGAGAAAGUGUUUAUAGCCUUUGGCCUCUGCAAUCGGAGAGAUUGAGGUCUGCAGCGUAGAUCCUUCGGGGUUAGAUACAUUUGUGCUAAGUUAUAGCCUUUCAUAGACAACUUGUUGACUAUGAUCAGUCACUGUAGCUUACUCGCUUAUGCUAUUUUACCUACGCUUAGGAUGUUGAUCUACAGAGCGAGAGU